UACGUAGGGGGCAAGCGUUGUCCGGAAUUAUUGGGCGUAAAGAGCGUGUAGGCGGUCCGGUAAGUCAGCUGUGAAAGUCAAGGGCUCAACCCUUGAAUGCCGGUUGAUACUGUCGGGCUAGAGUCCGGAAGAGGCGAGUGGAAUUCCCGGUGUAGCGGUGAAAUGCGCAGAUAUCGGGAGGAACACCAAUGGCGAAGGCGCCUGACUGGACGAUUACUGACGCUGAGGCACGAAAGCGUGGGGAGCAAACAGG
rnacentral:rRNA from 1 species